UGUGAACAUACCAAUCGUUGCUUCGGCGGACUCGUCCCGGCGUCCGGGUGGCCUUGCGCUGCCCGCGGCCCGGAUCCAGGCGACCGCCGGAGGCCAUCAAACUCUUUGUAUUACCAGUAUCUUCUGAAUCCGCCGCAAGGCAAAACAAAUGAAUCAAAACUUUCAACAACGGAUCUCUUGGUUCUGGCAUCGAUGAAGAACGCAGCGAAAUGCGAUAAGUAAUGUGAAUUGCAGAAUUCAGUGAAUCAUCGAAUCUUUGAACGCACAUUGCGCCCGCCAGCAUUCUGGCGGGCAUGCCUGUUCGAGCGUCAUUUCAACCCUCGAGCUCCCUUUGGGGAGCCCGGCGUUGGGGACCGGCCUCUACCGCCGCCCCCGAAAUACAGUGGCGGCCCCGUCACGGCGACCUCUGCGUAGUAACUUAACCUCGCACCGGAAACCCGACGUGGCCACGCCGUAAAACACCCCACUUCUGAACGUUGACCUCGGAUCAGGUAGGAAUACCCGCUGAACUUAAGCAUAUCAAUAAGCGGAGGAAAAGAAACCAACAAGGAUUCCCCUAGUAACA
rnacentral:rRNA from 1 species